GAUGAACGCUAGCGGGAGGCUUAACACAUGCAAGUCGAGGGGCAUCACGAGGUAGCAAUACUUUGGUGGCGACCGGCGCACGGGUGAGUAACACGUAUGCAACCUACCCUGUACAGGGGGAUAACCCGGAGAAAUUCGGACUAAUAUCCCAUGCAAUUAUUGGAGGGCAUCCUUUGAUAAUUAAAGCUCAGGCGGUAUAGGAUGGGCAUGCGGAACAUUAGCUAGUUGGUAGGGUAACGGCCUACCAAGGCUACGAUGUUUAGGGGACCUGAGAGGGUUAUCCCCCACACUGGUACUGAGACACGGACCAGACUCCUACGGGAGGCAGCAGUGAGGAAUAUUGGUCAAUGGGCGCAAGCCUGAACCAGCCAUCCCGCGUGAAGGAAGAAGGCCCUAUGGGUUGUAAACUUCUUUUCCAGGGGGUGAAUAAUUCCGAUGUAUCGGGAGAUGACGGUACCCUGGGAAUAAGCAUCGGCUAACUCCGUG
rnacentral:rRNA from 1 species